AUACUCACUUUGGCGGUACAUAUACUAAAAUCGGAAUGAUACAGAGAAGAUUAGCAUGACCCUGGGCAAGGAUGACACGAAAAUUCAUGGAGCAUUCAUAUUUUUG